UACGGGGGGAGCAAGCGUUGUUCGGAUUUACUGGGCGUAAAGGGCGCGUAGGCGGCGCAACAAGUCACUUGUGAAAUCUCCGGGCUUAACCCGGAGCGGCCAAGUGAUACUGUCGUGCUAGAGUGCGGAAGGGGCUACUGGAAUUCUCGGUGUAGCGGUGAAAUGCGUAGAUAUCGAGAGGAACACCUGCGGCGAAGGCGGGUAGCUGGGCCGACACUGACGCUGAGGCGCGAAAGCCAGGGGAGCGAUCCGG
rnacentral:rRNA from 1 species